rnacentral:rRNA from 1 species
GACGGUACCUGAAGAAAAAGCAUCGGCUAACUCCGUGCCAGCAGCCGCGGUAAUACGGAGGAUGCAAGCGUUAUCCGGAAUCAUUGGGCGUAAAGGGUCCGCAGGUGGCGAAUAAAGUCAGCUGUUAAAGACCGGGGCUAAACUCCGGAAAGGCAGUGGAAACUGAUUAGCUAGAGUACGGUAGGGGUAGAGGGAAUUCCCAGUGUAGCGGUGAAAUGCGUAGAUAUUGGGAAGAACACCGGUGGCGAAAGCGCUCUACUAGGCCGAAACUGACACUGAGGGACGAAAGCUAGGGUAGCGAAAGGGAUUAGAUACCCCUGUAGUCUUAGCGGUAAACGAUGGAUACUAGGUGUAGCUUGUAUCGACCCGAGCUGUGCCGAAGCUAACGCGAUAAGUAUCCCGCCUGGGGAGUACGCACGCAAGUGUGAAACCCAAAGGAAUUGACGGGGGCCCGCACAAGCGGUGGAGUAUGUGGUUUAAUUCGAUGCAACGCGAAGAACCUUACCAGGGCUUGACAUGUCGCGAAUCUAGCGGAAACGUUAGAGUGCCUUAGGGAAUGCGAACACAGGUGGUGCAUGGCUGUCGUCAGCUCGUGUCGUGAGAUGUUGGGUUAAGUCCCGCAACGAGCGCAACCCUCGUCCUUAGUUGCCAAUAUUAAGUUAGGCACUCUAGGGAGACUGCCGGGGACAACUCGGAGGAAGGUGGGGAUGACGUCAAGUCAGCAUGCCCCUUACGUCCUGGGCGACACACGUACUACAAUGGUUGGGACAAAGGGCAGCAAGCUCGCGAGAGUAAGCGAAUCUCAUCAAACCCAGCCACAGUUCAGAUUGCAGGCUGCAACUCGUCUGCAUGAAGUAGGAAUCGCUAGUAAUCGCAGGUCAGCAUACUGCUGUGAAUUCGUUCCCGGGCCUUGUACACACCGCCCGUCACACCAUGGAAGCUGGCUACGCCCGAAGUCGUUACCCUAACCCGGUUUUGGGAGGGGGAUGCCGAAGGUAGAGCUAGUGACUGGGGUGAAGUCGUAACAAGGUAGCCGUACCGGAAGGUGUGGCUGGAUCACCUCCUUU